rnacentral:rRNA from 1 species
GCCUGAUGCAGCAACGCCGCGUGAGGGACGACGGCCUUCGGGUUGUAAACCUCUUUUAGCAAGGAAGAAGCGAAAGUGACGGUACUUGCAGAAAAAGCGCCGGCUAACUACGUGCCAGCAGCCGCGGUAAUACGUAGGGCGCAAGCGUUAUCCGGAAUUAUUGGGCGUAAAGAGCUCGUAGGCGGUUUGUCGCGUCUGCUGUGAAAACCCGAGGCUCAACCUCGGGCCUGCAGUGGGUACGGGCAGACUAGAGUGCGGUAGGGGAGAUUGGAAUUCCUGGUGUAGCGGUGGAAUGCGCAGAUAUCAGGAGGAACACCGAUGGCGAAGGCAGAUCUCUGGGCCGUAACUGACGCUGAGGAGCGAAAGGGUGGGGAGCAAACAGGCUUAGAUACCCUGGUAGUCCACCCCGUAAACGUUGGGAACUAGUUGUGGGGUCCAUUCCACGGAUUCCGUGACGCAGCUAACGCAUUAAGUUCCCCGCCUGGGGAGUACGGCCGCAAGGCUAAAACUCAAAGGAAUUGACGGGGACCCGCACAAGCGGCGGAGCAUGCGGAUUAAUUCGAUGCAACGCGAAGAACCUUACCAAGGCUUGACAUAUACCAGAACGCUGCAGAAAUGUAGAAACUCUUUGGACACUC